rnacentral:rRNA from 1 species
CACGAAGCUGGAAUCGCUAGUAAUCGCGAAUCAGAAUGUCGCGGUGAAUACGUUCCCGGGUCUUGUACACACCGCCCGUCACACCAUGGGAGUCGGGAAUGCCCGAAGUCAGUGACCCAACCUAUAGGAGGGAGCUGCCGAAGGCAGGUCUGAUAACUGGGGUGAAGUCGUAACAAGGUAUC